UACGGAGGAUGCGAGCGUUAUCCGGAUUUAUUGGGUUUAAAGGGUGCGUAGGCGGCCUUGUAAGUCAGCGGUGAAAUUUUGCAGCUUAACUGUAAAAGUGCCGUUGAUACUGUGUAUCUGGAAUGCGGAUGCUGUGGGAGGAAUGUGUAGUGUAGCGGUGAAAUGCAUAGAUAUUACACAGAACACCGAUUGCGAAGGCAUCUCACAAAGCCGUUAUUGACGCUGAGGCACGAAAGUGUGGGGAUCAAACAGGA
rnacentral:rRNA from 1 species